GAGGGAGAGUACCUGAAAGAGGUAAAGGAAAAGAGUUACUCAUCAUGGUGGAGAGAGUGUCCGAGCUCUGUGCAGACACCCAACCUUUCCUUCUGCCUGAGAAACUAAGACUGAAUUAGCCUUUGGGUGCAGCAGCAGAACUGCUGGGGAUGUCCCUAAUUAGCUGAGGGGAUCCGUGCAUGGAACUGUGGAUGCUUUGGCCUUCUCUCUCCAAGCCUUCCUCUCACUUCAUACAUGGCAAGGAUUUAGCAAGCAUCACCACAUUAAUCCUGCUCCUCGCCAGCAUUUCAGGAAAUGACAGUGUCCUGCAAAUAUACGCAGGUGAGCUGCGCUGCUGCAUAUGCUUGGCCUUCUGGCUAACAUGUCCUACAGUGUCAUCAGCCAUGGAGAGGUGCUGUGGCAAUACUGCCUUACUACUCUCUUUUCUCCUUGGUUCAGACUCAAAUCUUCAGGUUUUGGCAUCUCCACACUCUUCCUCAAUGAAGAAUGCGAGAUCUGAGGUGGGUGGUCACAGGUUAGGUGAUAGAGAAAAGACAGAUCUUGAAGAAGAAAUGAGCCCUUCAGGCCUUGCCUUGCUUUAGUAAUGCUUUUGGGAGGCAGUUUUCUUGGACCCGCUGUUUGGCCCUCUGAUAGCUGUGUCUCCUUUAUGCUAUUCUGUUAGAGCUCCUUUUGUGUGUUGCAGAAGAUGUCAUUAGGAGGAGGAGUCCACAAAGCUGUUGAAAACAUCUUUCCUGUACAUCUUUCUCACACACCCCUUCCAUCACUACCCAUCCCCACACAGGGGAUUACAUCUGCACUUCCCACACACUCACCUGGGAACCCCAUACACCCACACCUACACACAUUGACACAAAUGCACCAGAGUCUUAUUUUCUGUGUUCCCUGACCUUCCUUUCCUCUUCCCAUCUGUUUGUUGAAUAAUUCCUGGCUAAAUAACUUUCUCUGGGCAGCCCCUGGGCUGGGGCACAGGGACUUGCCCCCUCUCCCGCCUGGCUGUCCAGGGGGCCUUUGAACAUGUGUUUCUGGGAGGCAGACACCAGCUGGCUGGGUGACAUUUGCAUAGUCAGCUAAAAGCCCAUGAGCUGAGCUGGGAAUGUCUGGAGGAGCCUGUGGCAGGAUGGAGGGAAGAGGGAAGCGCUGGUCAGCUCGAGGUCAGCUGGAACAGAUUUCUCAACAAACAGACAGAUGGUGAAAGGAGAUGAGGGGUGGGGGGAGCAUGCAAAGGCUCCUACAUCAAAUAUGUUAGUCACUAAAUGCAGUAUAAGUGACCAAUGUGCCUAUGGGCAAGGCAGUCACCAUGCUGCUUCCUUCCAAUCCCAUGGGAUAGAUGUAUCAGGAGGACACAGGCUCUCAUUGCUCUUUGCACAAGGAAGGGGAACAGGGUGGAGCAGGGAAGGGGCAGGGAGAGGCAUGAUCCCAAUGCUGUGAAGAAGCAGCAGGAGCUGGAGGCUCCAUGCAGCCUCCUGCAGUGAGCCAAAGGGGCCCUGUUUCCUGGCUCCAUCCAGGCACCAGCAGGGCUGCAUGACUGUGAGGAUUGGCCCCCAGUUGGUCUGAUCACACUGAGCUCACAAAGCAUCACCCAGCUUGGCAGGUUUGGGAGUGGGGGUUGCACAGUCCCAAGCACAAGGUACCAUCCCUCAUUGUACAGAUCCCCCCCAUCCCUGUUGUUGCUGCCUGCUGUUUGCCCCACUUCCCCCCCUACUCCAGCUCAUUUCAUUGGACUGAAAAUAAUAAAGCAAUCUGUAUGGUUUUGCUCCUACAAGGACAUGUCUUUGCCAUUCCAAAAUAACAGCAAAACAUAUUUAUGAGCCCCUGUGCUGCCUUUGCCCUCUCUACUGAUCACUGUUCCCGGCUGCCUGCCUGCUUUCAUGCUCUUUUCUCUCUGCACAGCCCAUUCCUCAGGACAGAAAAUACACUUUAUUUUUUCAUCCCACAGCACCUUUUGGAGGACUGGAGAAAAAAAGCACUCCCUUAUCAUGGGAAUUACUCAGGCAGAGAGAACUGACGUUUGUCCCCAGUGCUUAGAGUGGCCACAAUUGAAUACUUCAGGAUAAAAAGGCCAGGAAACACUAUAAUGGACAAUUAGGGGCUAAGCCACCCAGAGAUUACUGUUUCCCUCCUUCCAAGGUGUUUAGCAGUUGCCACAUGUCCUUGACCAGAAAGGUUCACAAAUUACUUGUCUUUAAAAUCCUGGGCUUAUAUCCUCCAUGUACCACUGGUAACUGCUAGAGGCUAGUUAUGCACUGUAAUAUGAGGUAUUCCCAUUACAUACCCAUGUUUUGUUUUAUUCUUUAGGAGAAAUAGAAAUGCAAUGCAUUUAUGUAAUUUUAAAUGCAAUUUGGGUUUUACUUUUUUUUCCCCUAAUGCUGUUGCCUAGAUAGUGCUAAAUCCUCUCCUGAGGGAUGCAAACACAUGUUACACAUGUUCCCCAUGAUGACUGCAGGCAGACAGAUGUUACAGGAAUAUGUAAGGAAGGCUGUCACUCAGACCAGUUAGAGCAGGGAAAUUGCACAUAAACUCCUUGUGUGUAUGAUCCCACCCCAUGUAAAGGGGGUCUGCACGUUAAGCAAAAUUGACAAGGUUCUGAUGGCACCAAUAAGCCUUAAUUGCCCUGGUCUCACCUGGGACCCACACCCAGGAGCUUAAUUUAACUGGCCCCUCAGCUUGGGCCACUCAUCACUCUCCUGAGCUGUGCUGUAGUUCUGCCUCUCUCCAGCUUGGCCUCAUUUCCUGACCUCAGCCCUAGGCUGCAGCAGUGUCUUCAGCCCCAGCUCUUGCUGCUCCUGAUGGGACUCCCUGCAUGAACCCUGGGCCUGCUUCAUCACUUUGCCACGCUAGGCCCAUGGGUGGGCCCUGUAACCAGCACAGCUUUACCUCUGAGCACCCCUCCAGUUCUGCAGGACCAUGCCUUGAUUGCUUCAUCACAGGUUUUUUUGGAAGUCCAAGUAAUGUGUAUUCUUCACAGCAAUCAGGAGUUUGAUUUGGCCAUAUCAGCAGGUGUGGCACCUUGUCACAAGUCCCAGCACUGCAUCCUGCACGUGGUAAUUGCUCAGCCAACUGCCAGCAAUGAUGGAGUCCUCAUGAAUCCUCACUGAGGUAGGAUCUGCAUCGCUAUUCAGUGCUCAGCACACAAUACUGGAAGGAGGGUUCAUACACACCAGGUCCCACAAAGCCUCUGGUUCCCCUCACUUCAGCUCACUCUGUCUCCACCAGGCAGACUUUAUCGAUCCACUGCCACAUGUGUGAAGGCAGGCACCAGUCCCAGAAGGCCCAGAGCAUCUCCUGGGGCAGAAAGGGUAGAGGAGGAUUUGGUAGACCCUACUGGCAUUCCAGUACAGGGGAGCAGUGUUAGACCAGAGAAGAUCUGAUUCAGUGAGUCUGAAGAAAAGACACAUGUUUUAAAACAUAAAAUCAAUUUGUUGUGCAGUGUGAAAUCCUCUUUCUUUUGCUGGGCACAAGUGAAAUCUUUUGGCCUCAUGUAGAGGAGCUGUGGGACAACAAUAAAACCUAAAAUCCAGACCACAUUUAAUGGAACUAGACAGACUCACUGCAAGAUUAAAAUACAAGUUUUGCAGACAAGCCAGCCCUACUUUCUAUAUUACUUCAUGUUCAUAGCUAGAAAGUUCUUUCAGACAUCUCUGUGGAGUGUAUUAGGGACGCUGGAAAUUAAACACAGGCCUGUCAAAGGAUGUUGAAAUAGAGGUCAAUCAUUUGGACUAUCAGGAACUCUUAAAGUCCAGAUUAAAAGGAUACCAAAGAUGCUGGCAGCAGAUUAAAUAAAUGUAUGCCUGAGUUUCACUGCACCCUCAAAGAUACUUGGGAACCAGAACAUAUUAGGGGAACAGCACCUGAUGCUUGUAGAACAGUAACCAGAAAUAAACCAACCCUGUCUGUUCCACAACUUCUGUUGGGCUUUUGGCCCAACAUCAGGCAAGGGUCCUGAUGUUGCGCCAAAAGCAAGAGCUUUGACUGUAGAGUAAAAAGUAUUUACUGCUGUGGUCUGUAAAAGAAUGCAGACUGGAUAUUUGCCCUGCAAAUGACACCAAAGAAGAGAAAACACCAAUUUUUUUUCCCUGCUGUCUCUCUCCACUUUUGCUGACUCCCUCAGCAGCAUGGUUUCUCCACCCAUUCCCAGUGCUGCUAAACAGCUCCCUCAGAUCAGCACGUAGUGAUAUUGGUGGUGUUCGGGUAAUCUGUGUCACAGGAGCAUGUGGUGACUCAUUUUUCCAGGCCCAUGGGAGUCACUAAUUUGAACUGUUACCAGCUUCUUUGGCAACACCCAUGGAAUGAUAUGGGAAUAUGAAGCUAGGAUAUGACCCACUCCAUAAAGGAAGGACACAGAGCUAUCUCUGCAAUUGACUGAUUCGCUUGAGCUUCUGCAAUGAAGUUCCUGGAUUCUCUGCACAUCAUUUGUUCCCUCAGUGUUUCUCACUGUUGCUAAAUUGAUAAUCCUCAGUGAUGUGGUGGAGCCACCAAUCCUGGUGACAGUGGAAUUCUUCCCCUUUUUCAUCAUGUUUGGUAGUACUAAAAUAUUCUUAAUUGAUAGUGGCUUGUCCAGUUACUCAGAAAGAGCUACCAUGAGGUCCACCAUUAAAGCUAUCACUAGAUCAGUUUGCGUGGCCUUUACUAGCAGGAGUUUGCAUGAGCCCAGUGGUACAAAACGCCAGGAAAGAAGCUGAGCUCUGUAAGUGUGUUUGGAUUGUCCUCCCUAGCUAUAUUCUUGGGGCUGGUAUUCAGUGAUUGUUGCCUUACACACAUAGCCAGAGCCUCCAUGACAGCCUCCUCCCCCACCUUGCCAUUUUCACACAGCUUUUGUCACUGGGCUACCCAUGCUGAGCCUGCCUGGCAUCGCCUCACACAAAUGUCAACGUUGGUGGACUGACACCUCCAGAUGGGAGCGAUCCAAGGCAGACUGUACCAGCUCCCAGGGAGAAGAUCCUAGAAGGAUCUUGACAUAUGCAGAGCCUCCCAGAUGCCAUUUUUGUCACUUUCAGGUGCUGUUUCAACUUGGACUAGGGAAAAUGGGCUUUGAAGGCAUCUGAGGGAGUGUUCUUCCAAGACAAGUAGACACAGGCUGGUUAGUCACACCAAGAUGCUGGUGAGUGUUUGAUGCACAGAGAAGGCCUCUCCCUCUGGCCAAUGUACACCUAUUUCUGGUAAGGACUGGAUGUCUAAGAGUGGGUACAUCCCAGCACACCCACACAGCUGGACCAAACUGAUAGCCCAAGAUUUUCCAGAGGGCAACUUGCAACUCAACAGCCGAAGUCUUCAGAAAAUCCUUCCAGGUAGUGGGCAGGAAGGAAGCGUGGCAGUACAGCCUUGUCCACCAUGCACUUCUCCCUCCCUCGCUCCCUCCCUCCCUCCCUUUCAGUCCUGUCCUUUCUCAAUACCCAGGAAAGAUUAACUCCUCUUCGCACACCAGAGAAAGUUAUUAUCAUUAAUGAAGAAUUAAAAGAGAGUGAUUAAUAAAGGGCCCUUAUCUGGCCGUGAGGAGGAGGCUGGACAAUGGAAGGAAGAUGGAGAAAAUGAAAAACAAUAAAUAUGAAGCGUAAAAGGAGGCGAGCACUGCUCCCACUUGUUAGAUCGCAGCUGCAUCUCCUGAGGGGGGAAGGCUCCAAAUUGCUAAUUACUGCCUCUGAAAAGACCUCGCUCUGAUAUGUUUUCUGCUGAAAGGUUCCCAUUAAUGAAGCAGCGAUGAUGCCGUUUCCCUUUGACUUGCCUUCAAUUCCCUCCCUGAGCUUCCUCCCAAGCCGGGAACAAUGAGGCCCUGGGAGCUGGCGGCUCCCACAGGCCUCUCGGAGACUAGGCCGGGGGCAGCCGAGUGAGGGGAGCCGAGCCGGCUGUGAAAUAUGGAGGGGGGAGAUAAGGCAAAGACAGAGGAAAGAGGCUCACUCCCAGGAGCCCAGGGAAAAUUUGCAGUUAUUAUGAAGGAGAUGAGACAGAUUAAAAGCCCUUGUGUUCUGCGCUGCCCUUUUAUUUAGUGGCUUCAUCUCUGAGAUGAAAGAAGUUGGAAAUGACUUUCUCCGCAUUUUGCUGCAAGAAGCUUCACGGCACAUUUUUUGACUUUAUUCCUCCCUUUGUCUCUUGUCCCCUUUCUGUCUCUCUUUUUCCUUUUAACCCCUGGAAGGUUUUGCUGUGAAAUGUCAUGGGACUAGGCAGAGCAUUUGCUGGGGUAGAGCAAUGACCCUGCUGCUCUCCCCAUCCUACUGGGCUGUACGGCUCCCGCUGCCCACCGAGGAGGGAGCUGGGCCAAGGCACGGCCACGACAAGCAGAGAGCAGCCAGCCAAGCUUCCUGUCCUGCUUGCCUCAGAAAUGUCCCUCACCACUAACACACCCUCUCCUGCCUCCAGGCCCAGCAGCAGCUCAGCACAGGUGACCGCAGCCUCUGGGCAGGAAAAAACCCCAUCCUUACAAAGCCAAGUGAUGGAUAAGAAUACAUGUGGGAUAAGAGUGCUGAACAUUUUGUAUCCCUGGAGCAUUUAAUGAGCAAAAUUGGUGCUGAGAAGUUGGGACAGUUCCCAUUGAGGCAACCUACAAAGUGCACAGAGAGUAAACAAUUUGCCAGGGAUGAGGGAUGAAGUUGAAUGCAGACAUGGAUUCAAAAUUAACUUUUGCUGACCCUGUCAGGGGUCAGGACCUUGUAAGACUGGACAGAAAUACCAUAAACUGCUCAAAACCAGAUUAUCCCAACUGCCUCAUUAUAUUUCUUGAACUCUUAUUCAAAUUUUUCUAAUUUUUCCCCGGACACAUCAGUGCUCCUUUGUGGUACCCUUUUAGUUCUUGGGACCCUUGCAAUUGCAAGAGCACUUUCAUCCUGUCUUUUGCUUUUGUCCUAUCUCUCUCACAGAAAACCGACCCUGUGUACCAGUAUGUUGUCUUUACUCAGGCCAAAUGCUGACAACAUCUGCAGAAAUUUGAGUGUUGAAUAUGGAAAAAAAUAAUGGAUGGUUGAAGUAAAAUUUAUACCAGUUGCAAAACAUUUUGUUGACCUACAGAAACAGCAGAGAACUAGUUGGGAAAUGAGGGGAAAAUAAAAGAAAUUAGAGUGGGCAUCUGCUGUCAUCUCCCCAGGACAUCUGAAUACAGGAUUUCUUGUACACAAUUGUUUGUCUGGUUUGUUAUCCUGCCUGGAACGGCAGCCAGUAUCGAGUGCUUGAAAUGAAGGGGUAAGAAGCUCUGAAGUGAUGUUUACAGAAUAACCUUCCCAUCAGGGGAGUUUCUCUGUAACCCAGACAUUUUGUAGCUGUUUUAUAUCCUGAAGCAUGAAAAAGGAUUGCAGCGGUGAAACAGGAUUAGAUUUUAGGAGGGAUUUUCUCUCAGAUCUGAGAGUAAAAAGAAAACCCCUGUAUUGAAAAUAGGAAACUGGCAGGGAAAACAAAAUGCUGCUAGCAAGUAAGGUGAGUUACUACCCCAGAAAGGGUUAAAAAACCAAAAGGACAGAAUUUUACAGGCAAAUUGGUACACAUAAAGUAACUUUAAUCAAGUCAGCUAUUGGAAAUGGGAUUUUAAAAAUCUACCUAAUGACUGCUUUUCUUCUUUUAAUAUUUAUUUUCUAAGGAAAUAAUAGCGAACUACAAGGAAAUGAAAAU